rnacentral:rRNA from 1 species
CAUUCGAAGCGAAACGGGAAAAGCCNAAACCAACAAGCUUGCUUGUUGGGGUUGUAGGACUCCAAUAUGGUAGUUCUUUCAGAUAGUCGAAUGACUUGGAAAAGUCAGUCAAAGAGGGUAAAACCCCGUAGA